UACAGAGGUCUCAAGCGUUGUUCGGGUUCAUUGGGCGUAAAGGGUGCGUAGGCGGCGCGGUAAGUCGGGUGUGAAAUCUCGGGGCUUAACUCCGAAACUGCAUUCGAUACUGCCGUGCUUGAGGACUGGAGAGGAGACUGGAAUUUACGGUGUAGCGGUGAAAUGCGUAGAUAUCGUAAGGAAGACCAGUGGCGAAGGCGGGUCUCUGGACAGUUCCUGACGCUGAGGCACGAAGGUCAGGGGAGCAAACGGGG
rnacentral:rRNA from 1 species